GCAUUGGUGGUUCAGUGGUAGAAUUUUUGCCUACCACGUGGGAGGCACGGGUUUGAUUCCUGGCCAAUGCA
rnacentral:tRNA from 1 species